GUCGAACGCUGGCGGCGGGCCUAACACAUGCAAGUCGAACGAGUGGCGAACGGGUGAGUAAUACGUGGGUAACUUGCCCUCUUGUUGGGAUAAGCCUUGGAAACGGGGUCUAAUACCGAAUAAAGGGGGAUGGGCUCGCGGCCUAUCAGCUGGUUGGUGGGGUGAUGGCCUACCAAGGCGGUGACGGGUAGCCGGCCUGAGAGGGUGACCGGCCAUAUGGAGACUGAGAGACGGCCCAGGCUGGUACGGGGGGCAGCAGUGGGGGAUAUUGCACAAUGCGGGAGAGCCCGUGGCGGCUGCGCCGCGUAGGCGAUGAAGGCUUUCGGGUUGUAAAGCGCUUUCGCAGUCGAGGGGUAGGUGGAGAAGAAGCACCGGCUAACUACGUGCCAGCCGCCGCGGUAAUAC
rnacentral:rRNA from 1 species